rnacentral:tRNA from 1 species
GCCCGGGUGGUGGAAUUUGGCAGACACGCUAGGUUGAGGGCCUAGUGGGCGCAAGCCUGUGCAGGUUCAAAUCCUGUCCCGGGCA